rnacentral:rRNA from 1 species
UACGGAGGGUGCAAGCGUUGUUCGGAUUUACUGGGCGUAAAGCGCGCGCAGGUGGGGUGAACAAAGUCGGAAGUGAAAUCUUGAGGCUCAACCUCGAGGCUGCUCCCCGAAACUGUUCGCCUAGGGACUGGUAGAGGCUGGUAGAAUUCCCGGUGUAGCGGUGGAAUGCGUAGAGAUCGGGAAGAAUACCUGUGGCGAAGGCGGCCAGCUGGGCCAGAUCCGACACUGAGGCGCGAAAGCGUGGGGAGCAAACA